GGCCUGAAAAACCAUCGUUAUAUAUUUAACUACAAGAAC
rnacentral:tRNA from 1 species